rnacentral:rRNA from 1 species
UACGUAGGGACCAAGCGUUGUUCGGAUUUACUGGGCGUAAAGGGCGCGUAGGCGGCGCGGUAAGUCACUUGUGAAAUCUCUGAGCUUAACUCAGAACGGCCAAGUAAUACUGCAGUGCUAGAGUGUGGAAGGGGCAAUCGGAAUUCUUGGUGUAGCGGUGAAAUGCGUAGAUAUCAAGAGGAACACCUGAGGUGAAGACGGGUUGCUGGGCCAACACUGACGCUGAGGCGCGAAAGCCAGGGGAGCAAACGGG